rnacentral:rRNA from 1 species
AGAGUUUGAUCCUGGCUCAGGACGAACGCUGGCGGCGUGCCUAACACAUGCAAGUCGAGCGGAGAUGUACUGACGGAAAGCUUCGGCUGGAAGACGGUACAUUUUAGCGGCGGACGGGUGAGUAACGCGUGAGCAACCUUUCCUUCACAGGGGGAUAAGAUACCGAAAGGUGUUCUAAUACCGCAUGAGACCACAGAGCCACAUGGCCCAGGGGUCAAAGGAGGAAUCCGGUGAAGGGUGGGCUCGCGUCCGAUUAGCUAGUUGGUGAGGUGACGGCCCACCAAGGCGACGAUCGGUAGCCGACCUGAGAGGGUGAUCGGCCACAUUGGAACUGAGAGACGGUCCAAACUCCUACGGGAGGCAGCAGUGGGGAAUAUUGGGCAAUGGGGGAAACCCUGACCCAGCAACGCCGCGUGAAGGAAGAAGGUCUUCGGAUCGUAAACUUCUAUCCUCGGUGAAGAGGAGAAGACGGUAGCCGAGAAGGAAGCCCCGGCUAACUACGUGCCAGCAGCCGCGGU